GGUUCACGGCAUUACACACGACGGCAAUGAAA
rnacentral:scRNA from 1 species